rnacentral:rRNA from 1 species
GACGAACGCUGGCGGCGUGCUUAACACAUGCAAGUCGAACGGAAAGGCCCCUUUGGGGGUACUCGAGUGGCGAACGGGUGAGUAACACGUGAGUAACCUGCCCUUGACUUCGGGAUAACUUCAGGAAACUGGGGCUAAUACCGGAUAGGAAUCCUUGCUGCAUGGUGGGGGUUGGAAAGCUUCGGCGGUUUUGGAUGGACUCGCGGCUUAUCAGCUUGUUGGUGGGGUAGUGGCUUACCAAGGCUUUGACGGGUAGCCGGCCUGAGAGGGCGACCGGCCACAUUGGGACUGAGAUACGGCCCAGACUCCUACGGGAGGCAGCAGUGGGGAAUAUUGCACAAUGGGCGGAAGCCUGAUGCAGCAACGCCGCGUGCGGGAUGACGGCCUUCGGGUUGUAAACCGCUUUCAGCAGGGGCGAAGCUUUUGUGACGGUACCUACAGAAGAAGCACCGGCUAACUACGUG